CAAAUUUAUCUAAGGGCAGAUGGUGGAUGCCUAGACCAGAAGAGGCGAUGAAGGACGUACUAGGCUGCGAUAAGCCAGGGGGAGCUGCCAAGAAGCUUUGAUCCCUGGAUUUCCGAAUGGGGCAACCCAACAUGUAGCGAUGCAUGUUACUCUUUCGAGAGAGCGAACGUAGGGAAGUGAAACAUCUCAGUACCUACAGGAAAAGAAAUCAACCGAGAUUCCCAAAGUAGCGGCGAGCGAAAUGGGAGUAGCCCUAAAAUCUAUUAGGUGUUAGUAGAAAAAGCUGGAAUGCUUUACCGAAGAGGGUGAAAGUCCCGUAUACGAAAACUAAUUUUAGACUAUUCGAGUAGGUCGGGACACGUGAAACCCUGACUGAAUAUGGGAGGACCACCUUCCAAGGCUAAAUACUACUUCAGGAUCGAUAGUGAACCAGUACCGUGAGGGAAAGGUGAAAAGAACCGCGGCAAGCGGAGUGAAAUAGAACCUGAAACCAUCUGCCUACAAUCAUUCAGAGCCCUAUGUCUUCGGACAGGGUGAUGGACUGCCUUUUGCAUAAUGAGCCUGCGAGUUAUGGUGACUAGCAAGGUUAAUCAAACGAGAAGCCGUAGCGAAAGCGAGUCUUAAUAGGGCGAUAGUUAGUUGCUGUAGACCCGAAACUAAGUGAUCUAUCCAUGGGCAGGUUGAAGCUGGUGUAAGAGCUAGUGGAGGACCGAACGGGUGAAGGUUUAAAACUUCUCCGAUGACCUGUGGAUAGGGGUGAAAGGCCAAUCAAACUUAGUGAUAGCUGGUUCUCUCCGAAAUAUAUUUAGGUAUAGCGUCUAGUUGUAGCUAUAGGGGGUAGAGCACUGAUUGGGCUAGGGCUACUUACCGUGGUACCAAACCCAGUCAAACUCCGAAUACCUAUAGUGUAAUCUAGGCAGUCAGGCGUAGGGUGAUAAAAUCCUAUGUCAAGAGGGAAACAGCCCAGACUACCAGCUAAGGUCCCAAAGUUUUAUCUAAGUGGAAAAGGAUGUGGGGUUGCUUAGACAAUCAGGAGGUUGGCUUAGAAGCAGCCAUCCUUUAAAGAAAGCGUAACAGCUCACUGAUCUAGCGACCUUGCGCCGAAAAUAUAACGGGGCUAAGAUAAACACCGAAGCUGUAGAUUUGAUAUUUAUAUCAAGUGGUAGGAGAGCGUUCUAGUCAGCGUAGAAGAUGUACCGGUGAGGAGCGUUGGAGCGGCUAGAAGUGAGCAUGCAGGCAUGAGUAACGAUAAAAGAGGUGAGAAUCCUCUUCGCCGAAAAUCUAAGGUUUCCUACGCGAUGCUCGUCAUCGUAGGGUUAGUCGGGACCUAAGUUAAGUCCGAAAGGGGUAGACGAUGGAAAAUAGGUUAAUAUUCCUAUACCGACAUUACAUCAUUUGAGUGAUGGGGGGACGCAUAGAGUUAGACGAGGUCACUGAUGGAAUAGUGGCUCGAAGGAAGUAGGUUGAGAAGUAGGAAAAUCCGCUUCUCAUGAAACCGAGAUCUUACAGGCUGAACAAUCUCUUCGGAGAGCGUUUAGAAUCGUCGAUACUGUCGUGCCGAGAAAAGCCUCUAAACGAGAUGUAAUGUUGCCCGUACCGUAAACCGACACAGGUGGGUGAGAUGAGUAUUCUAAGGCGCGUGGAAGAACCCUGGUUAAGGAACUCUGCAAACUAGCACCGUAUCUUCGGUAUAAGGUGUGCCCUAUUUGUUAGGAGAUUUACUCUCCAAAGCAAUGACGGGUCGCAGCAAAGUGUCCCUCCCGACUGUUUACCAAAAACACAGCACUCUGCUAACUCGUAAGAGGAUGUAUAGGGUGUGACGCCUGCCCGGUGCUUGAAUGUUAAAAGGAUUGCUUAGCUUUGCGAAGGCAUGAAUUGAAGCACAAGUAAACGGCGGCCGUAACUAUAACGGUCCUAAGGUAGCGAAAUUCCUUGUCG
rnacentral:rRNA from 1 species